AUUGAGAUUCCUUUAAAAUUAUGUGUGGAAAUACAGCUGGAAAAAGUGUCCUGCAUAUAACAUUGCCAUGAAGCAGUCCAGGAUGAAUGUCCCACAAUCGACAUCAGUGAUGCAGUCCGAGAAGAGUAUCCUGCAGUCAGCAUCACAGUGAAGCAGCCUGGGAAGGUUGUCUAAAAGUGAUACAGGGUGAGAGGAAGCAGCUGGCUGAAUACAGUUAGAACAGAUUCCCAUCAGUGUCUCUACCACUUAUGAGCAAGGAACAUGAAGGACUUGGAAAUCCAGGCAUCCUGUCACCCAGUCAAUCUACUGAUGAAAUUACUGAAAGAAAAUGAAACAGAAAAACUACUUUUGCCUUGGUUUUAGCACUACAAAGUGCUGAUACAUGGGGUGUAGGUGCAUUGGAAUCUGUGUCUACACUAGCAGUUGCCAAGCAUAACUGCCCCAAUGUUUCUCCCCUUACCUUUUCCCUGUAGCACUGCAAAUUUGUCUUUUUAAGUGAACAAAUUAACAGAACUACUCGCAAACUGAACAAUCUUGCCCACCCCCCUGCCAUGCCUAACUGAAGAAAAUUCUACUGAUUUGUCAUCAUCUUACUUACCUGUGCCAGAUUUUCCAUCAUUCUGCUUUGCUCAAAGUAAAACAACUCCAGCCAAACCUUGGAUUUCCGUUGAGUUAUGUCAGUGGAUUAGAAUGAGAGAAUUUGUUUUACAUAGUGCCUUCACGAGUAAUCCUUUAGGGAAGGAGAUCUACCAUCCAUACGUGUGCUGGCCUCCUGUCCAGGCUCUGAACUAUGUUGGAAGUGACCUGAAUGAAGCAUCGUCAGAACAUUCCAACAAACACUAAAACAUCACUUGGCUGGUAGUGAGAAGAGCAUUACCUGUGAGAUCCUUCAUGUUCAUCCAAACUCUCUACACCACCACAGGCUGCCCUCGAAGUGGCUGCAGGGAUGGGGACGGCUAGAGAUUCUCUCACAUCUCCUGCUGGAAUGUGCCUUUGCAAAGGAAGUCUGCAGGAAGAUGCAGUGGUUUUUGUCAAGGUUCAUCCUGAGCAGUCCUGUGAUGCAGGACUCCUGGCUCUACAGUCUGUUCCCCUGGAGUCGCUGAGACAAAUAUCAACUGUGCCUGGUGGACCAUCAACUCAGUGAAAGAUGCCUAAAACUUGUUGGUCUUCCAGAGCAAAGAGUUGACCCCAACCAAGUGUUGCAGACUGGCACAUUCCAAGGUCUCAGGACUAUGUGCUGAUACAUGCACCAAAGCUAGGGGCAGCUGCUGCCAGGGCGCAGUGGGGAUUGACCUCUGUCUAAGGUCUUCCUGCUGAAGGUAAAUGGGGGUCUGUUCAGUUAUCAGACCCUCCAGUGCCACAAAUAUGAUCUUUGACAAGGAAGAAAUACCUUUGGUUGGUUUGUUGGAUAAAGUCAAACUCCCUUGUUUGUUUCUUCAUAUGCUACUGUACAGAACUGAAUGCUUU